rnacentral:rRNA from 1 species
GACGAACGCUGGCGGCGUGCUUAACACAUGCAAGUCGAACGGAAAGGCCCUGCUUUUGUGGGGUUCUCGAUUGGCGAACGGGUGAGUAACACGUGAGUAACCUGCCCUUGACUUUGUGAUAACUUUUGGAAACUGGGGCUAAUACCGGAUAUGAUCUCCUGCUGCAUGUUGGGGGUUGGAAAGUUUCGGCGGUUGUGGAUGGUCUCGCGGCUUACCCGCUUGUUGGUGGGGUAGUUGCUUACCAAGGCUUCGACGGGUAGCCGGCCUGAGAGGGUGACCGGCCACAUUGGUACUGAGAUACGGCGCAGACUCCUACGGGAGGCAGCAGGGGGGAAUAUUGCACAAUGGGCGGAAGCCUGAUGCAGCAACGCCGGGUGCGGGAUGACGGCCUUCGGGUUGUAAACCGCUUUCGCCGGUGACGAAGCGUGAGUGACGGUAACUGGUAAAGAAGCACCGGCUAACUACGUG